rnacentral:tRNA from 1 species
GGGAAUGUAGCUCAGUGGUAAAGCAUGUUCUUAGCACCUGUGAGGCCCUGGGUUCAAUCUCCAGCAUUCACU